rnacentral:lncRNA from 1 species
CCUUCGGCGGCCGAAUCCCCUAAACAGAGCCGAACCUCAAAAACACUCGGGGGCAAGCUGUGGCAGCCUAAGCCACCAUGCAAGGGGUUCGGCGGCCGAAUGCUCCUUCGGCUGCCGAACCUGAGUUCAUCCAGAACUCAGCCCCGACGGCAACCUCCCUCCUUCAUCCACUUCUUACUCGCAAAACAUGCAUAACUCCUCCC